CUUGUCACUAUUACCUGGACAAUACAGUAUAGCAACUACUUAAAAUAUGUGGAAGGGGCUGGGUGCGGUGGCUCAUGCCUGUAAUCCCAGCACUUUGGGAGGCUGAGGCGGGCAGAUCACGAGGUCAGGAGUUCGAGACCAGCCUGGCCAACAUAGUGAAACCCCAUCUCUACUAAAAAUACAAAAAAUUAGCCGGGCAUGGUGGUGGGCGCCUGUAAUCCCAACUACUCGGGAGGCUGAGGCAGGAGAAUCGCUUGAACCCGGGAGGCAGAGGUUGCGGUGAGCCGAGAUCGCACCAUUGCACUCCAGCCUGAGCAACAAGAGUGAAACUCUCUCUCUCUCUCUCUCUCUAUAUAUAUACACAUAUGAGGAUGUGUAGGUCAAAUGCAAAUACUACACUAGCUCAUAUGAGGGACUUGAGCACCUGUGGAUUUUGGUAUCUGUGGGGGGUCCUGGAACCAAUCUCCUACUGAUACUGAGGGACGACUUUAUAUUCUUUGGGUGUUUCCCUCUCUUUCCUCCAUUCUCAUCAAGAGUUUGUACAGGAUUGAUAUUAUCUUUUAGACAAAUGUAUGGUGGAACUCACCUAUAAGAAGUGUCUGAAUCUGCUGCCUUUUUUUGUGGGUAGAUUUUUAAACUAUUGGAUCAAUUUCUUUAAUAAUUGUAGGAAAAUUCAUGUUUCUAUUGCUUAUUUU
rnacentral:lncRNA from 1 species